AUUGAACGCUGGCGGCAGGCCUAACACAUGCAAGUCGAACGAGUGGCAGACGGGAGAGUCAUGUCUGGGAAACUGCCCGAUGGCGGGGGAUAACUAUUGGAAAGGGUAGCAAAUACCGAAUACCAUCAGAUGGGGCAGGAGGGGAUUAGCUAGUGGGUGGGGGAACGGCUCACCAAGGCGAAGAGACCUAGCGGGUCUGAGAGGGUGACCGGCAACAUGGGAACGGGGACACGGUCCAUACUCCUACGGGAGGCAGCAGUGGGGAAUAUGGCACAAUGGGCGCAAGCCUGAUGCAUCCAGGCCGCGUGUAUGAUGAAGGCUUUCGGUUUGUAAAGUACUUUCAGCGGGGAGGCGUUACCCGCAUAAGAAGCACCGGCUAACUCCGUGCCAGCAGCCGCGGUAAUAC
rnacentral:rRNA from 1 species